UAAAAUCAUCAAGAAAAUUUCCCUAAAUCUAAGCAAAUAUCAACCGACAUACUUCACGUCGCCAAUCACUAAUUUCUGGGCAAAUUUUCCAAUUUUUCGAGAAGGUUUCGCAAAACCUGGAACAAAGACAAAGAGAAUAAAAUCAAACACAAAAGUUAUAGGGUUGAAGUAAAUGGAACGACCAUACACAAAAAGAGGAAAAUUGAGGAUUCUAAUUUUACAUGUAUAAAUCUCAUUUUUCAUGAAUUUUUUUGGGUUCUUUUGACGAAUUUUGAACAAGGGGCGGAAAUCUUCUGGAAGAAAGAGUUGGAAAAGGCUGAAGAAAAAAGAGAGAUGUUGUGCGUGUCAAAUGGAAAGUUGAAAAAUGGAGAGCACAAAGACCCAAGAAGAAGAUGGCAUGUCUAAGAAGAGAAAAGGAAAUAAGAAAAGGGCAUCAUUUGCUAGACGACGUCGUUUAGGAAAGCAAAUAUAAAAAAGGGAGUCAUUCGUUAGACGACGUUGUUUUGGUAGGGGAUUGAAUUACUAUUACAUAAACAACAAACUUUUUAUUGCCCCUUUUUAUGUAGUAGUGAAAUAGUGGUCGAGAUAUAAAAAUAUUUUUUCCUUUUUUACUUAUAUGUUAACUUUUUAAGUUUAGCAUCUAAUCACAAACAAAUAGACAAAUGUAAUCAAUACAAAUGAAAGGUAUGAAUAAUUGUACAAAUUUAUUCUCAAAUGCAAGGAAAAGGAAAACAAACAAGCAAUAACCUAAAACAAAAGAAUAAUAUUAUUCAUGGUGAAAACUACUACUAGUCGUCUGACGUGGCAUACACAUAGUUGAUUAUUGUUUGAUUCACGAGACGACUACCGAUAGUCUUCAAUAUAAAUAGCAUUACUCAAAACAUUAGCAUAAAGCCAGAAAUACAAUAAAACAUGAUAUUUUUCAUGUCUAUACAAAGAAAAGAUCCAAUUGUAGUUAAACUAAUUACAUAAACUAGUUCCUAAUAGAACAUCUCUAGUUAUGAUCAACCCAUCUUUUUCCAAUUUUAUUUUUCUCAAAUAGAUUCAUCUUCAAGCAACACUAAUGAUGCUCCUAUCUCUAUUUAUGAAGUUCGACAUCACAUGGAAUGCUGAGUGCGUUGUUGAAGAUGACCGAUCCUGAUCCUGAGUAGAAGACAAUGACAAACUCAAAGACAAUGGCGAUGGCCAGGUAGGGAUUGUAAGUGUUAUACCCUAAAUUCAAUCGAUUUAGGUUGUAAACGUUUUUAAUAUGUUUAAUGCAUUUAAUUUUGGAGAGAUCUAUUAUUUAUUUAAAUUAAUUUUGUGAUAAAUAAUAUUAAAUAAUAGAAUCCGAAGAUUCAAGUUUAAGUGAUUUGUUAAUCACAAGGAGUUGUGAUUGUGAGAUACAAAUUACAUAUAAUUAGAUCUUGAAUAAAUCGUGGUCGUAAGUAAUAACGAGAUACGGAUAUUGUUAAUAUAGUUAGACCAUCACUGUGACAUUUCUUACUUAUGAAGUAAGUAGCUGAUCUCACGAGCUAAAGUGUGGUGACACUUAAAUGAACACGUGGAUGUUUUGUUAUAAAACAAAACAUUGGAGACCCGCUAAGAGAUUCCACAUGGAUAACUAUCUGAGUGUCAGUGGUUAAUCUCUAACGUUCGAUAAUGAAAUUGGUCCUACAACUUGAGGUCAUCAUAGUGCCUUGUAUGAGGACAGUCAUAUUUUGAUGAUGUUGGAUGUUGCUCUGCUAAGAGCCGCUAAUACGACAUCGUUCAGGUAUGUCAAAAACCAUAUGAAGGUUGUGAAUGACCAGAAGAGGAUUCGUCACUCUUAAAUAGUAAGAGAUUGUGAUCUGCAUUUCGUUCAAUUAAGUCAAUAACGAAAUCCUUGGCCAAGGUAUACAUAUAAGUCGAAAAUGAGUUUUCGACUUAUAUUAAUUUAAUAGUAGAAUGAAAGAUAUGAUCGAUAAUCGAGAUUGACGCACUUCCAUAUCUCGUAGUUGAUCGAUCAUAUUGACGAAGAGAUUAUAAUUUCAUGGUAAACGAACAGUUUUGGUCUUGUCAUACCACAUGACAUUUCCCGUCACAUGUGUUGCCCUAAUAUAUUGUUAGAUGUCAAUCUGGGACGACGAGUGUGAAUUUGUGAUAAAUUAAAAUGGUGUUUAAUUUAUCAGUUUUGAUUAGAUCAAAAUAAUAUUUCACGUCGUUAGGUAUCGUGGUUGGGAACCUAAUGGGUCGCACACAAAAGAAAAUUGAAAGAUUGCAAAUUGCCAAUUGAUUAAUUUAACAAUCGUUGGAUAAAUUAAUUAAUUGGAUUUGUUAUUUAUAUUCCCGAAUUAAUUAAUUGGAUUAGUUAAUUCACGGAUUGGGUUUAAUUAAAUGGAUUAAUUAAACAUUGGACCGGAUCGGGUCGAGUCCGUUUGGGUUUAUAUAAAUACAUGACUAGGGUCUGAGGUCCAUAAGAUUUUCAUUAUUCUUGCUGGCACAAGAGGAAAAACCCUAACAGUUGCACUCUAUUCUCUGUGUAGAUUUCAUUGGAGGUUGGACAAUUUGACAGCUGUGGGAGGCAGAUUCAAGCUGCUGGAAAGGAAUAACGCGAAGGAGUUUGCAAAAUCAAGAAAAUGUAUAUUUCUUAUCACAGUUCUUAUCUAAAUAUAAAGGUGAAUCCUGAAUGGGAAUUGAAAUUUGUUUAAUUUCGCUGUGCAUGUUUAAGUAAAUUCUCAACAAUGAUAUUAGAGCCAACUUUGUAUUUGUUAGGAACUGUUUUACAUAUUGAUUAAAUUAAAUGUUGAUUUAAUCAUGUUCGCUGUGCCUGCCAGUGCGCUGCUGAUGGGCGCCGCCACUGGAGAAGAAAGAGAAAUAAAAAAAUAAUUUUUUUUUUUAGGGUUUGGUGGUGGAGACGGGGGCCUCUAUUGCAAAUAAUGCAAUUAGGGGCCCCUAGUUGCAAUUACGAAAAUGGGGUCAAUUUGUAAUUUAAAAAGGAGGGACCUGUUCUACAAAUUUUUAAUUUGGAAGGGUCUGCUGUUAAUUUCCAACUUGGGUCAAAUUUGUAAAUUGUCAAAAUGGUUUUGAUUUUGAAUUUUGAAUUGUUUUAAAAUGAGUUUUUAAUUGGGUUUGACUCAUACCCUAAUUUUGACCCAGAAUUAAAAUUUAUUUAAAAUUUGACGACUUUUAUAUUUUUGUUAAAAUUAGAUUUUAACUUAAAUAUUUAAUUUUGACUCUUAAUUGAAUUUUAUUUUGUUUGGGAAUUUUGUCCUAAAUUAAAAUAUUAAUUCAAUUUUAUUAGAGUAUAUUAUAUUAAUUAAAAUUUGAUUUCAAUUAGUACUUCCAAAUGCAAAUUAAAAUUUAGAGUAUGACUCUAAUUUAAUAGUUAAUUAAAAUUCGAUUUUGAUUAAAUUAUUUCGUCCAAUAGUUUUGGAAUUAGAGUUGGACUCUAAUUCGGGAUUUAGUUAAAAUUUGUUUUUAAUUAAAUAGGCCCGUCGAUUAAAUUAAUUAAUUAAUAUGAUUAAUUAAUUAUUUAAUUAUCUCGAUCCCAAAAUUUUUGAAUUAGUUUUAACGACUAUGAUUGCUAGAUUUAUGAGACAUUGCAUAUAAUAUCUAAUAUUAAAUAUUAUACAUAGGAAAAAAUUUAUGUGAUGAAUGCUUAUGGAUGAUUAUGGACUCGACCAUAUGGAUGUGUUGAAUUGUUGAUUUACUUCCUUUUGUUUUAUGGGCCUGCGAGCCCUUCAUUGUUUUGGACCUGCGAGUCCAUUGAUAUUAUUGUUGUUAUGGACCUGCGAGCUCUUUAUUAUAUUGGACCUGCGAGUCCAUUAUUAUUGUUAUUAUUAUGGGCCUGCAAGUCCGAUUUCUUUUAGGCCAACUAACAUAUGAUACAUGUUGCAAGUUUGACUAAUUGGAUGCGUAAGAAGAGGUGGACACCAUGGAGAUGGUGUAUUGGUAUUGAUCCAAUGUUGUACCCCUUAGGAAUUGACCAACUAGUUUUCCCUUUGGCUUCGGAAAACUAGAUAGAACAAGUCCAUAAUCAUUCAUACUAUUACUUAUAUAUAUUUUUUUGCAUAGUAAAUGUAUGUUAUAUAUAUAUAUAUAUACUUGAUGAGACCAUUGCACGUUAAAUUCCUCGUUAAAAAUAUUAGGUUAGUAUUAUUUGCCUUCCAUCAUUAUAGUGAAAAACGAGAAUUCUAAAUCGACCUUAGCUUGUUGAGUACACUCAAGGUUGGUCUAUUAGGGAUAUGUUUGACACUAUGAAAUAUUUGAUAUUUCUGAAUGAUGGGUUUGAUUUAAUUAAAAUUUAUCUUUUGUUGAGUACACUCAAGGAUAUAAGUUUUAGAGGCAUGUUAAGCUAACACAUAAGAUGUGUGAAGACAAAAGAGUUGUUAGCUUAAUGAUCUGAGAGUUGUAUGGAGAUACAAUUGAUAAUAAUAUCUACCCAAAUAUUUUAUUAGGAUUUGUUGAGUACACUCAAGAUCUCGAUACAACGAAUGGGAUCCCAGCCCACUGGGAAUCAAGUGUGGAUUCAAAUAAUUUAUGUAUGAGGGUCAUGAAUUUAUUUUAAACAGUGAGAGCACGUUUAAUUAAAGUCCAUAUUGAAUUUAUGUAUAUGCAUUAUAAUACAUAUUAAUUCUAUGUUUUUCGUCAUUUACAGUUUUUGAAUCAUGAGUAAUCAUAUGAAUUUGAGAGGCAUAUUGGAUGCCAACAAGCUGACCGGACCGAAUUUUCUCAAUUGGCACCACAAUUUGAGAAUCGUUCUCAAGCAUGAGAAAAUUGGAUAUGUCCUUGAGCAGUUCUUUCCAGUGGUGCCUGCUGAAAAUUCCACUCAGGAAGAGGUGGCUGCUUACAACAAACACAGUGAUGACGAUAACACUGCAGCAUGUGUGAUGCUUGCAGCUAUGUCACCUGAGUUGCAGAAGCAACAUGAGGGUAUGGAUGCUUACACUAUGAUUUUUCAUCUCAAGGAGUUGUAUGAUGAACAAUCUCGUGUGGAGAAGUAUGAGACCUCUAAACAACUAUGCCGAUGCAAAAUGGCAGAGGGAUCAUCAGUCAGUACUCAUGUGCUGAAGAUGAUUGGUUUCUACUGAGUUCACUGGAUUUUAUCAUGGAUCAUGAACUAAGUAUAGACUUGGUUCUGCAAUCUCUGCCAGAUAAUUAUUCACAGUUCAUUAUGAACUUUAAUAUGAAUAAGAUUGAAUGCACACUCCCUGAGUUGCUUAAUAUGCUUAAAACUGUGGAGCCCAAUGUCAAGGCUAGCACUGGGCAUGUCUUAGCUAUUUAUUCCUCCAAGGGCACUAAGAGGAAAAUCAAAGGAAGUUUUAAGAAAACAUCCAAAAAGGCUAAGAGCAAUAACAAAGCAGGUAAGGACAAUACCAAAUCUGAUGACCCAUGCUAUCACUAUGGAGUGAAAGGUCAUUGAAAGAGGAACUGCAAGGCUUACCUCGCAAGCUUGAAGGGAAAGAAGUCUUCUGAAACUUCUACUUCAGGUAUUUUUGUUAUCGAGGUUAAUAUGUGUACUUCAUUAGCUUCUUGGGUAUUAGAUACCGGAUGUAGAUCUCAUAUUUGUGUAAAUAUGCAGGGACUAAAGAGAAGUAGACCAUUGCAGAAAAGAGAAAUUGACUUGCGCGUGGGAAAUGAAGCAAGAGUUACUGCAUUAGCUGUAGGGACAUACUUCUUACCACUGCCUUCAAGCUUAGUAUUAGAAUUAGAAAAUUGCUAUUUUAUUCCCGUCAUUACUAAAAACAUUAUUUCUAUUUCGUGUUUGAACAUGAAUGGUUUUUCAAUUAAUGUUAAGAACAAUCAUUGUUCAUUUUAUAAAGAUGAGAUCUUUUAUGGUUGUGGUGUGUUGCAAAAUGAAAUUUAUAUUCUUGAUACUGAGUCGUCUAUUAUGAAUAUAGAAAAUAAAAGGCAUAAAAGUGAUAAUCUAAAUAAUACAUACCUCUGGCAUUGCAGAUUGGGUCAUAUUAACGACAAACGCAUUUUCAAGUUACAUAAAGAUGGAUACUUGGGGGCAACUGAUUUUGAAUCAUUUGACAAAUGCGAGUCGUGCCUGUUAGGCAAAAUGACCAAGUUCCCUUUUACUGGAAAAGGAGAAAGAACCACAGAACUGCUGGGACUAAUACAUAUUGAUAUAUGUGGACCCAUGUCAAUAACUGCCAGAGGUGGUUUCUCUUAUUUCAUCACAUUCACUGACGAUCAUUUUAGAUAUGGUUAUGUGUAUCUGAUGAAAUUCAAGCAUGAAGCACUUUAAAAGUUCAAGGAAUUCAAACUUGAAGUAGAGAAACAAACUGGUAAAAAUAUACUCACGCUGAGAUCAGAUCGAGGUGGAGAAUAUUUAAAGGGAGAAUUUUUAGAUUAUUUUAAAAAGAAUGAGAUUCUCUCGCAAUAGACUCCGCAUAUACACCGCAACAUAAUGGUGUAUCUGAACGGAGGAAUCGCACUUUGUUAGACAUGGUGCGAUCAAUGAUGAGCGAUGCAAAUAUUUCAAAAUCAUUUUAGGGUCAUGCACUAAUUGCUGCGUGCUACACACUUAAUCGUGUCCCAUCUAAAUCGGUCGACAAAACUCCAUACGAGCUAUGGAGAGGAAAAAGACCAAACUUAUCUCAUAUGAAAGUUUGAGGCUGUGACGCUUAUGUAAAGCGAAAUGAAUCAGAUAAGCUUGAGGCUAAAUCUGACAAAUGUGUAUUUGUGGGAUAUCCAAAAGAGACAAUUGGAUAUCAGUUUUAUAAUCCCAUUGAGAAGAAGGUGUUCAUCUCAAGGCAUGCCAUAUUCCUAGAGAAAGUGUUUAUUCUAAGAGAGGGUAGUGAGAGCAAACCAGAACUUGAAGAAGUUCAAGAAUCCACAGAUACUGUUGACCAAUUAGAUGAACCUGAGUCUAAUCCUAUACCUGUUAACGGACAGACUCUUGAUCAGGAUGUAGAGAACCUUGAGGACACUCCAGCUCAUUGUAAAUCAAGUAGGAUCAUUCGACCUCCCAGAAGGUACGAAUUCAUGAUUACUAAUCAAGUAUUAUUAGUCGAGGAUGAUGAACCUACAAAUUACGCUGAAGCAAAGUCAAGUGUUAACUCGAAGAGAUGGCAAGAUGCCAUGGAAUCCAAAAUGAACUCAAUGUAUGAGAACAAGGUUUGGACCUUGGUCGACCUUCCAGGUGGGAUAAAAUCGAUAGGUUGUAAAUGGGUUUACAAGAAAAAUAUUGAUGUAGAUAGAAACGUCCAUACAUACAAAGCAAGGCUAGUAGCGAAGGGUUACACACAAAGACAAGGUGUUGACUUUGAUGAAACAUUUUCGCCUGUAGCCAUGCUAAAGUUCAUUUGGAUUUUGCUUGCAAUAGCUGCAUACCAUGAUUAUGAGAUAUGACAAAUGGAUGUCAAAACUGCUUUCCUUAAUGGAAACUUACAAUAGGAAGUGUACAUGACACCACCUGAAAGUUUUGAAUCCAAAGGAGCCAACAAAGUAUGUAAGCUAAAUCGAUCCAUUUAUGGAUUAAAGCAAGCCUCUAGGAGCUGGAAUCUUCGUUUUGAUGAAACAAUCAAAAGGUUUGAUUUUAUCAAAAAUGAAGAUGAACCGUGUGUUCAUAAGAAGACAAGUGGGAGUGCGGUCGUAAUCCUGAUAUUAUAUGUCGAUGACAUUAUUAAUGGGAAACGACAUCCUAAUGCUUCAAUCAGUAAAAUUAUGGUUGUCAAAAAAUUUCUCCAUGAAAGAUAUGGGAGAAGCAGCGUAUAUCUUGGGAAUCAAGAUCUAUAGAGAUAGAUCUAAAAGAUUACUAGGCUUAUCCCAAUCUUCAUACAUAGAUAAAAUCUUGAGAAGAUUUAAUAUGGAAGAGUCUAAAAGAGGUUUGUGUCCCAUGUCGCAUGGGAUUUACCUCUCAAAAGAUAUGUGUCCUAAAACACAUGAUGAAAGGAAUCACAUGGAUAAGAUUCAUUAUGCUUCGGCGAUAGGAUCUAUCAUGUAUGAGAUGCUAUGUACAAGACCAGAUGUUUCAUAUGCUCUAAGUGUUACGAACAGGUUUCAAGCAAACCCUGGUGAGAAACAUUGGAAAGCGGUUAAGAACAUUCUUAAGUACUUGAGAAGGACUAAAGAUGUGUUCUUGAUCUAUGGAGGAAAUGAACUGAAAAUUCAUGGGUAUACUGAUGCUAGCUUUCAAACUGACAAAGAUGAUAGCAAGUCUCAGUCAGGAUAUAUGUUUACUCUUAACAAUGGAGCGGUUAGUUGGAAAAGUUCCAAACAUGAGACAACUGCUGAUUCAACAACAAAAGCCGAGUACAUUGCUGCUUUUGAAGUAGCGAAGGAAGCUGUCUGGAUCAAGAAGUUCAUUAAUGAACUUGGAGUCGUUCCUAGCAUUGUUGAUCCCAUACCUUUGCAUUGUAAUAACAAUGGAGCCAUCGCGCAAGCGAAGGAACCGAUGUCUCAUCAACGAUCCAAACAUGGACUAAGACGAUAUCAUCUCAUCAGGGAGAUUAUACAAAGAAAUAACGUAACGAUAGAGCGAGUUCCCACAGAUGACAAUAUUGCAGAUCCACUGACAAAGCUGUUAUCACAACAGAAACAUGAUCGUCAUGUGAAUGCUUAUGGUAUUAGAUACAUGAGUGAUUGGAUCUAGUGGGAGUUUGUAAGUGUUAUGCCCUAGAUCCAAUCGAUUUAGGUUGUAAACGCUUUUAAUAUAUUUAAUGCAUUUAAUUUUGGCGAGAUCUAUUAUUUACUUAAAUUAAUUUUGUGAUAAAUAAUAUUAAAUAAUAGAAUCCAAAGAUCCAAGUUUAAGUAAUUUGUUAAUCACAAAGAGUUGUGAUUGUGAGAUACAAAUUACAUAUAAUUGGAUCUUGAAUAAACCGUGGUCGUAAGGAAUAACGAGAUACAGAUAUCGAUAAUACAGUUAGACCAUCACGUGUGGCAUUUCUUACUUAUGAAGUAAGUAGCUGAUCUCACCAGCUAAAGUGUGGUGACACUUAAAUGAACACGUUGUUGUUUUGUUAUAGAACAAAACAUUGGAGACCCGCUAAGAGAUUCCAUAUGGAUAACUAUCUGAGUGUCAGUAGUUAAUCUCGUAAUGAAAUUGGUCCUAUAACUUGAGGUCAUCAUAGUGCCUUGUAUGAGGACGGUCAUAUUUUGACGGUGUUGGAUGUUGCUCUGCCAAGAGCCGCUAAUACGACAUCGUUCGGGUACGUCAAGAACCAUAUGAAGGUUGUGAAUGACCAAUAGAUGAUUCGUCACUCUUAGAUAAUAAGAGAUUGUGAUCUGCAUUUCGUUCAAUUAAGUCAAUAACGAAAUCCUUGGCCAAGGUACACAUAUAAGUCGAAAAGGAGUUUUCGACUCAUAUUGACUUAAUAGUAGAAUGAAAGAUAUGAUCGAUAAUCGAGAUUGACGCACUUCCAUAUCUCGUAGUUGAUCGGAUCAUAUUGACGAAGAGAUUAUAAUUUCAUGGUAAACGAACAGUUUUGGUCUUGUCAUACCACGUGACAUUUUCCGUCACAUGUGUUGCCUUGAUACAUUGCUAAAUGUCAAUCUGGGAUUACAAGUGUGAAUUUGUGAUAAAUUAAAAUGGUGUUUAAUUUAUCAAUUUUGAUUAGAUCAAAAUAUUUCACGUCGUUAGGUAUCGUGGUCGGGAACCUAAUGGGUCGCACACAAAAGAAAAUUGAAAGAUUGCAAAUUAUCAAUUGAUUAAUUUAACAAUCGUUGGAUAAAUUAAUUAAUUAGAUUUGUUAUUUAUAUUCUCGAAUUAAUUAAUUGGAUUAGUUAAUUCAAGGACCGGGUUUAAUUAAAUGAAUUAAUUAAACAUUGGACCGGACUGGGUCGAGGCCGUUUGGGUUUAUAUAAAUACAUGACUAGGGUUUGAGGUUCAUAAGAUUUUCAUUAUUCUUGCUGGCACAAGAUGAAAAACUCUAGCAGUUGCAAUCUAUUCUCUGUAUGGAUUUCAUUGGAAGUUGGACAAUUGAACAACUGUGGGAGGCAGAUUCAAGUUGCUGGAAAGGAAUAAUGCGAAGGAGUUUGCAAAAUCAAGAAAAGAUAUAUUUCUUAUCACAAUUUUUAUCUAAAUACAAAGCUGAAUCCUGAAUGAGAAUUGAAAUUUGUUUAAUUCCGCUGUACAUGUUUAAGUAAAUUCCCAACAGGGAUAUUCUGGUUAAGAUAGACAACUGUUGAGGGAGUUGACAUGGGAAGAACAGAAGCUGGAUGAACGAGUAGGGUAGAUGAAUCAUUCACUUGAUCACAUGGCCAACUGUGAGAUUUUCAAUUGGAUUUUCGACUUGCUUUGGUAACAAAACCUAGCCAAUGGUCACAAAGAAAGGCACGAUUGGGAAUCCACUGAAGUUGGAACUUUCCGGCUGAGGGAGAGAGAAUGGUUGGGACUCUUCCAUCGGUAUUGCAAUAACCUAAGCAGUAUAGUAAAGAGAUUAAAUACUAUUCAUAUAUUAAACAUUUUCACGAUAAAUUUGAAAUUGCUAUAGUAAUACUUUUUUGCCACUCAGAUCAUGUUAGUUUUGAUCAAGCCUCCUUUUUCUUAUUUUGCUGAGGCUGCGUUAAUCUUAUCAACACGAACAAAUUUAUGUCCCCAAAAAAAUAAAAUCCCAACCACUCAAGUCUCCUCUCCUUAAUUUAAAAGAAGAAACGAGUGGAGAACAUUGCUUAGCUCUCACAAAGUUCCUUUUAUGGCUUUUGGGGAUAAAAAGUGGACUUCAAAUGUGAAUUUUUGGAGAAAGUGUUAUAAAUUGCACAUUAUUCAAAAUAAAACAGCUUGAAAUUGACUAACCAAAAAGAAAUGUCGAGCAAAAGAUCCAAUUAUAUUUUCUUAUAACACAUGGGAACAGCACACAUUGUAAAUUGUUAUCUGGUCAAUAAAAUUAUUGAGUCAGUGGUAAUGUCGGCGACAUCGAUUGAGGUUACUUUGGCGAGAAAUUAUUUUUGGGCAUGGCUGGCAACUUGGGUUGGCGUAUGAGUCUCGACAUAAUUUCAAGAGAAACCCCUCCAGUCUCCUUUUCCUACCUUCUAUAGUCCAAGGAGGAAAACUUUGUGUCUUCUCCUGUCCAUGGCACUCCUAUUUCCAUCAAUUCCAAAGGGAUCAAAAUCAAUCUACCAAAUGUUACAAUUAUUCCAUUAAAUUUAAGAUCUCAUAAGAUUUGACAAAAUUUUGCACUUGCUGUAAACCUACUAAAAUGAUAUUUGAAUUUUAGAAAACAUCGUAAAUUAAGAAAGAAUAUAUUAUUGGAUUAAAUAACCAACUAGGCUUCCUUAAUAUUCGUGUAUCUAUGAUUUGUAUACAUACCAAAAUGGCCCAGGGGAUAGUCAAUGUGAUUUGAAGAAGAUAUUUUUAUUGAAUAAGACCAAAUACUCAUUUGACAUACAAAAUAACUUAUAAAAGAAAAUUUAGAUUACAAGGAAAUCUAAGCUAUCUUGAAGAAGAUUUUCUCCCGCUAAAAACUCUUCCCUAACUCUUGAUACUUGAUCUGAUUGAUCUCUGGACUUGAAAUUUCUUGAAGUGUAAUGAAAGAAUCUUUAAACAGCGUUGAUUGAUUGUCUUGAUUGAUCUUUGUCGAUUAUUUGUUAUUUUUAGCAUCUUCUUUUUGAAACAAUAGUUUACUUUGAUAAAGUAUCUUUAAUAAAGUUGAUUAAAGAGGAAUCUCCUUUAUUAAAUCAUCUUUAUUAAAGUUUUGUCUUUUAUUAUUGUUUGAUGGAUGAUAGUGCUGGUAAGAACAAUUUGUUGGAUGGCAUACAAAUUUGAUAGAGCUAUCUUUUGAUUUAUGAACCCAAUAUCUUUGAUAUUCGUCCAAAAAGUUGGGUUCAUAUAAUCACUUUGAAUUCUUUUAAGUUUCUUCUUGAGCAAUGAAUUCAUUUAUGUCUAUCCCAUAACAAUCAUUUUCAUUGCUUUGAGCAUAGUCAGUUUCCGAACUUGUUUGAGAAGAUGAACUAUAUUAAGUAGAUUUAGUUUUCUUUGAAUUUGAUUCUAACAAGAAGUAAUUUUCUCUAAUAUAAUUAUUAAUUCUUUUGGCAUUUUGCAUUGUCAACAUAGCUAAAAUGUUAAUUUUUUUUUUUUGGGUAAGAAAGUCGGCAUGUUUUCAUGAUCCUUUUUUGAAAAUUUUGGAACGUCGAUAUUUCUUUAUUCUAGAAUCCAUGGAUUUACUACCUUUGGACAACAGUUUGUUUCAAAGAACUUUGACCAUCAUUUAAUUUUAAAUAUUCGAAUAAUCCUUUUAACAUUAUAUUAAGAGCUUUGGCCUUGAAUAGUAUUGAAAUCCUAAUAGGAUAUCCAUGUAACCAUUAAAUUGAAGGUGAAUUAGAACAAAAUAUUUCCUUAAGGCUUUUGAUAAUCUUUGAUUUUGCCUCAUGUUUGAUGAGUAAGACCAGAUAAUAAUUUCUCAUCAAGUUCAAAACAUUUGAACUAUGUUUGAAAAACUUGAAUUACAAUUUUGAUUAAAUAAAAUGAACCAAGAAUGUAUUAUUGGUCUAAAAUUAAAAAUAUUAUACCAAGCAUCAUUGUAAUCAAAAUAUUUGAAAUAAGAUUCAAAUGAUUUAUCUUUUGAGAGACGUAUUUUCUUCUCAUUUCAUGGUCCACAAUCUUCAUAUGACAACACUCUUUGAAUGUUCUGAAAAAUCAAUUUGAUUUGGCUUUUGAGUAUGAGUUAUAAUAAUUGAUCCAGUUGUAAUAAGAACGGCUUCAUAAAACUCUCUGAAUUUUUUAUAUUUAAUGGCAUAUAUUGAAAUUGAAGAGGAAAAAGAUCUUGAAGACAUUCACUUAAAGAUGACUAUCAAUUUAUCCAUGAAAUUACCAUUUCAAAAAUUAGAAUAUAAGUGGAUUUGACAAAAUAUUGAAAGGUUUUUGGAGGAUUGAUUUCUAGUAAUUUUUUUUAUCUAGAUUAAGCAGUCUUUUGAAAUUUGAAGGUUUUGAUUGUUUAGGAAUAGGCUUAGUUUGAGUAGGUUUUUUUGAACAAAAGUGUUGAAAGAGUUUUGUUUUGAGAGGAUGAAGAACCUUGUUGUUCUUUUCUUGAUGAUACUUGAAUGUAAUCUUCCAUUGAAAAUAAAAGUAGUUGAAGUUUUUUUCAACUAUUUUUCUUUCAAAAUGAAGCUUCUGAAAAAGCCAUUGAAUAUUUCUUCUCUCAUUUUCUUUAUUGAAUAUUCUCACAAUUUACUCACUUUUUUCUGCAUAAACUCUCUUGUUAGAAAACCUGCAAAAACGUUUGAUUUUCCUUGUCUAUAUAAUAUUUUGAAAUCAAAAUAUGACAAAAUAGCCUGCCAUCUUACAAAAAUUUAUUUUUAAGCAAGAUAUUUUACAUUUUUUUGUAAAAUAUCUUUUGAAACUUUACAAUCAAUUUUCAAAAUAAAUUAUUUAUUGAUUAAAUCAUCUUGAAAUUUUGAAACACAUAAAACUAUUGAUAAAAUUCCUUUUUUAAUGGUUGAAUAGUUCUUUUGAGGGCCAAUCUACAUUCCCUAAUGGAAUCUAACCAACUGUUAUUGAUUUGACUCUUUUGGAAUCCAUUUUAAUACCUCACCAUAUCCUAUGUCUAACACAUAUGUUUCUACAAUAAUGAAGGCUAAAUGGCCUAUAAUUGAAGACGUGAUAUUUUUGGACAAAUAAAGUGUGUUCACAACCCCCAUGGUAGUGGAUUUUUUUGUAACCUUUGAAAAAGUAGUGCACAUAAUUGAUGUAGACUUUUGACAAAAUCGGGAACAUAAUUGACACAACCUAAAAAACGUUGUAAAAUUGUUUUAUCUUGAACUUCGUCUGGAAAUUUAUCGGCAAAUUUCAAACUUCUUUGAAUUGGUGUAAGUGUUCCUAGGUGUGUAAAAUAACCUAAAACCCUUAUACAUGUUUGACAAAGAACAACCUUUAUUUGCAUAAACUGCUAAACCGUUGAUCUUAGUGACAUGAAUGAAUAUAUUAAUAUACUUGAAAUACAGGAUUAAAAGUAUCGUUCAUAAUUUUUUGAAAUUCUGAAAGAACAUUUUUGAGACCGAAAGGCAUAACAUUUCAUUCGUAUUGACCAAAUGGAACAUUAAGAGCAAUCUUAUAUUUAUCUUCUUCUUUGAUUUGAAUCUGCCAAAAACCAGUUUUUAUAUCGAAUUUUGAGAAAAUAACCUCUUUGAGUAAUUUGUUUCUGAUAUCUAGAAGAAUAAGAUCUUUGAAGAUUGUUUGAUAAAGAACCUUUGUUGAAAAUAACUUUGACAUGUCCAUCAGGGAAUUAAAUAAUUUGAUCUGGGAUUGAUCUGGUAGGAACACUAACUGGAGUUUGGACAUUUUCAAAAUCCCUUCUAAGUCCUCUAAAUUGAAGAUUUCAUGGUAUUGUUUUAGUAAUCAUGAUAUUUGAAUGGAGAGGGUUGACCUCUUCUAGAAGACUUUCUUUCUUAGGAGAUGAGUGAAGAGCUCGAAUAUUUAGUUGAGUGUUCAUCUAGGAAAGAUGAGAAACAACCUCUAAUUUUCAAACCAAUUAAUUCUAAGUUUUCUCCAAAACUGGAUAAAGACACUUUGUCUAAUGAAUCCAGUAUCUCACAAGCACUUGCAAAACAAAUUUCAAAAUCAGAAUCAUCUAAAAACCUUAAUAUAAUUGAUGUUUUCGAUAAACUCGAAUUUCAAUUUAUUGAAGAAGUAAAGCCAUCUAUCAAUAAACUGAAAGGUUAACAUACAAAAAUUCCAAAUUUUUAUUCUUGUCUUUCUCAUCCUACUAUGUUUUAUGACGAAAAGAAGAAAUUUUAAUUUUCCUAUAAAAGAGAUGAACUCGUAGACUGGAAUCUCAGAAUAUCAAAUUUCACUUUACUAGAAAAUAUCGCAAUAUGUCAUGCUACCUGUAUUGGAAGAGGCACAGGGGAAACUGAUGCAUUUUCAAAUUUAAUUCAUAGUUCGAGUGGACAAUUAAAAAGUUGGUGGAGUAAUUAUUUCACAGAUAACAAUCGCACUAAUAUUGGAUUUGCAGUUAACUCUCAAGGUCAAAAUGAUAGCCUCAAUACUUUAAUAGAUUCAAUUCUCGAACAUUUUAUUGGAACUCCCGACUUACUUCAAAGUAGGUCAUCUGAGAUUCUUAUGAAUCUUGUCCAAAACUUCAAGAUUUUCGUUGAUACAAUGAUAUUUUCCUCACCAGAGUUUUUAUUAGAAAAGAUUGCAAUCAAUCUUUUUGGAAAAAAAAAAGAUUUAUUGCUGACUUCCAAAACUCUUUGCAGAAAGAGUUGGGAAUGCUAUCAAACUUAAAAACAAUGAUACUUUUCCUUAUACUACUCUUAUUUGUGGUGAAAUUAUUAAUUUUGUCAAUAAGGAAGGUUCAGCAUUAUGCAAUGAUUUCAAUAAUUCUAAUGAAAUUGAAUGAUGGGCCCCAAGAGUCGUUAUUAAUUUAUAAACCCUUCAAUAAAGCUUUUCAAUAAAUUCGAUAUCCAUCACCUCAAAAGAAGGAUCUGAGAAACAGAUUACUCAAGCUGUUAUUUUCUCAAAAUUCAAUAUGAAAUCCGAUUUUUGGCAAAUUCAAAUCGAAGAAGACAAAUACAAAACCAUUUUCAAUGUUCCAUUUGGUUAAUACGAAUGGAAUGUUAUAUUUUUUGGUCUAUUUGCUCCUUCAGAAUUUUAAAAAUUAUGAAUGAUAUUUUUAAUCCUUAUCAAAAUUUCAUUAUUGUUUACAUCAAUGAUGUUUUAAUCUAUUCCGAAAGUUUAGACCAACAUUUCAAGCAUAUUAAUACACUCGUUCAUAUCAUUAAGAAAAUGGUUUAGCAAUUUAUGUAUAUAAAAAAAAAAAAAAAGUUCUUUGUCAAAACGUAUAAGAUUUUUAAGUCAUUUUAUACACCUAGGAACACUUACCAAUUCAAAGGAGUCUGAAAUUUACUGAUAAAUUUAUAGACGAAAUUCAAGAUAAAACAAGGUUGCAGCUGUUUUUAUGUUGUGUCAGUUAUGUUACCGAUUUUGUCAAAAGUAUACAUCAAUUAUGUGCACCACUUUUUUCAAAAGUUACAAAAAAAUCCACUACCAUGGAGUUAUGAGCACAAUUUAGCUGUCCAAAAAAUUAAAGUUGCUAUCAAAAGUAUCCCAUAUAUUUCAAUUAUAGACAAUUUAGCCUCCAUUAUUGUAGAAAUAAAUGCGUCAGAUAUAGGUUAUGGUGGGGGUAUUAAAACAUAUUCCAAAAGAAUCAAAUUAAGAACAGUUAGUUAGAUUCCAUUCAGGAGUGUGGGCCGACCCUCAAAAGAACAUUUCAACUAUUAAAAAAGAAAUUUUAUUAAUAGCUUUAUGUAUUUCAAAAUUUCAGCUUGAUUUAAUCAAUAAAGAAUUUAUUUUGAAAAUUGAUUUUAAAGUUUAAAAAGAUGUUUUACAAAAAAAAAAAAAAAAAAAAAAAAAAAUUGUUUCAAAAAAAAUUUUUAAAAAAAAAAAGUAAAAAAAAUCAUGUUUCAAAAUAAAUUUUUGCAAGAUGGUAGGAUAUUUUACCAUGUUUUGAUUUUAAAAUACUAUAUAUACAACGAAAUUAGACAUUCUUGCAUAUUUCCUCAAAAGAGAUUUAAUGUAGAAAAGAGUGAGUGAAUUGUAAGAAUAUUCAAUAAAGAAAAAUAGAGAAUAAAUAUUCAAUGGCUUCUUCAGAAGCUUCAUUUCAGAUGAAAAAUAGUCGAAAAAAGACUUCAAUUCAUUUAUUUUCAAUGAAAGAUUACAUUCAAGAAUCAUCAAGAAAAGAACAAUGUUCUUCAUCUUGUCAAAACACAACUCUUUCAACACCGUGUUUAAAAACCUACUCAUAACCAAAACCAUUCCUGAAUAGUCAAAACCCUCAAAUUUCAAAAAGACUGUUAUAUCUGGAUCAAGAAAAUUACCAUAAAUUAAUCCCCUAAAAAACUUUCAAUAUUUAUCAAAUCCACCUAUAUUCUAGUUUUUAAAAUGGAAAUUUAAUGGAUAAAUAGAUAUUCAUCUUUAAAUGAAUGUCUUCGAGAUAUUUUUCUUCCUCAAUUUCAAUUUAUGCCAUUAAAUAUUAAAAAAUUCAGAGAGUUUUAUGAAGCUGUUCUUGCUAGAACUGGAUCAGCUAUUAUAAUUCAUACUCAAAAUCCUCAAAAGCCAAAUCAAAUUGAUUUUUCAAAACUUAACAUUUAAGGGGUGAUAUUAUAUGAAGACUGUGGACAACAACCAUGGAAUGAAAAGAGAUUACGUCUCUCAAAAGAUGAAUCAUUUGAAUCUCAUUUCAAUUAAUUUGAUUACAAGAAUGCUUGAUAUAAUGUUUUCAACUUUAGACUAAUAACACAUUCUUGGUAGGGAUGGAAACGGCAAGAAUGGCAAUUUCCUGUCCUGUACCCGCAUGUUACCCGUUUAUGUAACUAUUUAAUUUUUUAAUUUUUGAUAAUUUAUUUUCUUGCUCCCAUUUAUUAAAGUGAGAUAAUAUUAUAGUUAUUAAAAUUUUUAAUUAAUUAAUUUAUUUUUAAAAGUUGAAUUAUUUGAAUAUAUUUGAUAAACUAAGGUUUUUAUUGUUUAUCAUAUUAUUUAGAUAAUCAUAGUUGUCGUCUUCUAUUAUAAUUAAUGAAAUAUCAUUGAGUUUUCCAUUUAAAGUACAAAAAAAAAGAACAAAUUGGGCGAGGUGGGACCUCUGUUACCCAUACUUGCCCUGGGACGAAAUCCCCGCCCCGUACCCAACAUGAGUACAAGAUUAAGAGGGUAAUUCCCGCCACAUUCGAGAAGAAGCCCGUGGAUAUCAAGUUUAACGGGGUUUUUUCACCAUCACUAAUUCUUGGUUCAUUUUAUUUACUCAAAAUAAUAAUUCAAAUUUUUCAAAGUGAUUUCAAACAUGGUUCGAAUGUUUUGAAUUUGAUGAGAAAAUAUUACCUAGUCUUAUCAAGGAUUCGAAUACUUCAAACAUGAGGCAAAAUCAUUUUUGAAGCCUCAAGAAAAUAUUUUGUUCUAAUUCGCCUUCAAUUUGAAGGUUUCAUGUAUAUUUUGAUGAGAUUUCAAUAUUAUUAAAGAUCAAACCUCUAAAUAUAAUGUCGAAAGGAUUAUUUAGAUAUUCAAAAUUAAAUGGUGGUCAAAGUUCCAUGAAACAAACUAUUGUCCAAAGGCUAUAAACUCAUGGAUUCUAGAACUGAGAAGCAUCGACGUUCCAAAAAUUUCAAAAAAUGAUCAAGAUAAACAAGCUGACUUUCUUAAAGAAAAAUUAAAAUUGUUAGCCAUGUUCAAUCAGUGCAAAACGACAGAAGAAUUAACAAUUAUAUAAAAAAAAAUUGCUUCCUUAGCAUAAUCAACCUCAAAGAAAUCUAAAUCUAUUCUAGAUAGUUCAUCUUUUCAAUCAGGCUUAGAAAUCAAUUAUGCUCAAAGCAAUGGAGAAUAUUGUUAUGGGAUAGACAUGGAUGAGCUCACUGCUCAAGAACAAACUCAAAAGAAUUCAAAGUGACUAAAUGAACCCAACUUUUUGAACAAAUAUCAAAGAUAUCGGGUUCAUAAAUUAAAAGAUGUCCUCUAUCAAUUAUGUCUGUUACCCAACAAAUUAUUCUUGUCAGCAUUACCAUCCAUCAAACAAUAAUAAUCGACAAAACUUUAAUAAAGAUACUUUAAUAAAGGAUAUUUCUAUUUAAUCAACUUUACUAAGUAUACUUUAUAAAAGUUCAAAAAGAAGAUGCUGACAAUUAGAAAAGGAAAACAAAUGGCCAACAAAGAAAUCAAAAUCUAUUCUAGAUAGUUCAUCUUUUCAAUCAGGCUUAGAAAUCAAUUAUGCUCAAAGCAAUGGAGAAUAUUGUUAUGGGAUAGACAUGGAUGAGCUCACUGCUCAAGAACAAACUCAAAAGAAUUCAAAGUGACUAAAUGAACCCAACUUUUUGAACAAAUAUCAAAGAUAUCGGGUUCAUAAAUUAAAAGAUGUCCUCUAUCAAUUAUGUCUGUUACCCAACAAAUUAUUCUUGUCAGCAUUACCAUCCAUCAAACAAUAAUAAUCGACAAAACUUUAAUAAAGAUACUUUAAUAAAGGAUAUUUCUAUUUAAUCAACUUUACUAAGUAUACUUUAUAAAAGUUCAAAAAGAAGAUGCUGACAAUUAGAAAAGGAAAACAAAUGGCCAACAAAGAUCAAUCAACACUGUUCAAAGAUUCUUUCAUUACACUUCAAGAAAUUUCAAGUCCGAACAUCAGUCACUUGAAGUACAUAAGGAGAUCAAGCAUCAAGAUUUAGGUAAGAGUUUUUACUUUUUAGCGGGAGAAAAACUAUUUCAAGAUAUUUUCCUGGAAAUCUAAAUUUUCUUUUAUCAAUUAUGUUGUAUUUAAAAUUAGUAUUUGAUCUUAUUCAAUAAAAGUAUCUUCUUCAAAUAAUUUUCCAGUGACUAUCCCCUGGACCAUUUUGUGUGUGUGUAUAUAUAUUCCAAUUUAAAAUUUUAAAAAAUGAUUUCCCAUCAAAUUCACAUAAAAUCUUUAGCGAAAGAUAGUCAACUAGCUAUGCAACUUAUCAAUCAUUCAAAAUUUGGGAGAUUCCAACGUCAAUUCAUAAAACCUAUAUAAAUAAAAUCGGCCAUCAUUAAAAUUGAAGUAUAUAAUCUAUACAAAUCAAAUAUUAUACGAAUUCAAAUUCAUAAAUCUAUUCAAUUAAAAAAUGUUUAUUCCAGAAACGACGAUUAAGCAGCCGUAAACAAAUUAAAAUUAGAUCUAACCUCGUUUACGCUCGCAUCUCCCGCCAGUAGGCUGCAGCGCGGCGUCAUCUGCGGAAGCAUAACAGGUGGUGACGCCACCAUCCUCCGCCUUCGCGUUCGAGUUCUCAUUGCUUUUAUUGAUGUUAUGAUAGCUAUUACUAACUAUUGGUGGCGGUAUCUGCUCACAUAUUGAAUUUGAGUUUUUAAGGAUAAAG
rnacentral:lncRNA from 1 species